rnacentral:rRNA from 1 species
GACGAACGCUGGCGGCGUGCUUAACACAUGCAAGUCGAACGGAAAGGCCCUGCUUUUGUGGGGUGCUCGAGUGGCGAACGGGUGAGUAACACGUGAGUAACCUGCCCUUGACUUUGGGAUAACUUCAGGAAACUGGGGCUAAUACCGGAUAGGAGCUCCUGCUGCAUGGUGGGGGUUGGAAAGUUUCGGCGGUUGGGGAUGGACUCGCGGCUUAUCAGCUUGUUGGUGGGGUAGUGGCUUACCAAGGCUUUGACGGGUAGCCGGCCUGAGAGGGUGACCGGCCACAUUGGGACUGAGAUACGGCACAGACUCCUACGGGAGGCAGCAGUGGGGAAUGUUGCAAAAGGGGCGGAAGCAUGAGGCAGCAGCGCCGCGUGCGGGAUGACGGCCUUCGGGUUGUAAACCGAUUUCGCCUGUGACGAAGCGUGAGUGACGGUAAUGGGUAAAGAAGCACCGGGUAACUACGUG